GGGUUGUGAGGUUAAGCGACUAAGCGUACACGGUGGAUGCCCUGGCAGUCAGAGGCGAUGAAGGACGUGCUAAUCUGCGAUAAGCGUCGGUAAGGUGAUAUGAACCGUUAUAACCGGCGAUUUCCGAAUGGGGAAACCCAGUGUGAUUCGUCACACUAUCAUUAACUGAAUCCAUAGGUUAAUGAGGCGAACCGGGGGAACUGAAACAUCUAAGUACCCCGAGGAAAAGAAAUCAACCGAGAUUCCCCCAGUAGCGGCGAGCGAACGGGGAGCAGCCCAGAGCCUGAAUCAGUGUGUGUGUUAGUGGAAGCGUCUGGAAAGGCGCGCGAUACAGGGUGACAGCCCCGUACACAAAAAAUGCACAUGCUGUGAGCUCGAUG
rnacentral:rRNA from 1 species